CCAGCAGAUCAAGCUAACAGACAAUCAAUCCUUAUGUGAAUUAUUUUUUAAAAGAACUGUCUGACAUUUUUUGAAGUACACUUGUAAAUUCCAGAGUCAGAUUAGAGGUAAUUAAUAGGAGUAUCAAGUCUCCAGACAGAAAACUGUUGCUGUGGAAUUACACACUCCGCCAUCUUUACCCUUGGUUUGGAAGAUUUACUGUGAAAUUGGACAGUGCUCUACAUGUUGAAGAUCCUAAACUGAAGUCAAAUAUUCUUGAAGGCCUGGUGCAAGAAAUAGUUUGGAACAAAGUUUAUUUCACCGACAAAGAGUUUAAAACAGUUGGAGAGGCCCUCAUUUCAAAGCAUCCUUGUCUGACUGAGAAAGGCUCCCUCACUGGAUAUACUGGAUGGAAAACUAGCUUGAAGAAUAAACUGGCAAUCUACAGCACUACCUGAGAAAGUUUAGGUGUCCUAACAUGAGGUCAAGCACAAACCAGAGGGCAAAUCAAGCGCUGCAAACCAAGAGGCUCUGAAGUGAACUACUGCCCCUCUUAUUCUACUGGAAAAUCUGAUAAGAGCUUUUAGAGUGAGAGUGGAGCUUCUCUCAGGUGUUAAGAUGAACAACAGGGAGGUGUUGAGAAUGGAAAUGGAAAAGAUGUGCAUAUAGGAGACAUGAAGUGGUUCAUGACACACCAAUGAUACGAGUCUCCUAGGGAAGAUGGCCAGCAUUCUGAAGUGAGCCAGGCUGGAGCUCCUCACCACACCAUCCAGAUUCUGAUAGCUGGAGCUGAAUAACAAGAGGAUAACAGGAAUAGGCAGUUUGUUGUGACAAAGACAUUUCUUUGCUCAUGUUGUGGAGCAAACUGGAGAUCUUCAAACACACCUGAGAAGUAGGCCAGUGGGAUGGGGCUUGACAACUCUUUCAUUUGCAGCACUGGGAUCUCUUCCUCCUCCUCUAUGCCUCUCUGGCGUUGCAGGGUGCUGCGAGACUGAAAGUAAAAGAGGAGGACUGGGGUAGCGGUUCGUAAAGGAUGCAGAGUGACUGCUCAGAGGAGUUUCCAGGCGCCCAGCCAGAGAGUCAGACAUCUUGAUCCUUCCACUGAACAGCUGUGGAGGUCAGCAAUCAUGGAAGCUUUUAGAGGAACAACGACUCUUGUCUCCAGUCUCUCCACCUGCAACAACAAAGUGACAGCCACCAAAUUCGAAGAUACAGUUCAUUUAUGCAUGGAUAACUGCAGUGUCCCUAACCUGAGCCUGCCUGUAGUCCUGCACCAUGGCCAAGUCUUCAGCCAGGUUUUUCAGGCCGACCUGGAGCUCAGGGUCCUCUGUGCUGGAGAAGUC